rnacentral:rRNA from 1 species
GACGUAGGGCGCGAGCGUUUGUCCGGAUUUAUUGGGCGUAAAGAGCUCGUAGGCGGCUUGUCGCGUCGUCCGUGAAAACCAGGGGCUCAACCCCUGGCUUGCGGUCGAUACGGGCAGGCUAGAGUCCGGAAGAGGAGAGUGGAAUUCCUGGUGUAGCGGUGGAAUGCGCAGAUAUCAGGAGGAACACCGAUGGCGAAGGCAGAUCUCUGGGCCGUAACUGACGCUGAGGAGCGAAAGCAUGGGGAGCGAACAGG